CGUCUAUAUACGUAUAGCAUAUCAAUAAGCGGAGGAAAAGAAACUAACAAGGAUUCCCUUAGUAACGGCGAGUGAAGCGGGAAGAGCUCAAAUUUGAAAUCUUCAAGGUUUUACCUUGACGAAUUGUAGUUUAAAGAAGUGUUUUCUGUUGGUGUUUUGGUAAAAGUUCUUUGGAAUAGGACAUCAUAGAGGGUGAGAAUCCCGUAUUUGACCAUUACUUCCAGCGUUGUGAUACACUUUCAAAGAGUCGGAUUGUUUGGGAAUGCAGUCCAAAAUGGGUGGUAAAUUUCAUCUAAAGCUAAAUAAUGGCGAGAGACCGAUAGCGAACAAGUACCGUGAGGGAAAGAUGAAAAGAACUUUGAAAAGAGAGUUAAACAGUACGUGAAAUUGUCAAAAGGGAAGCGUUUGACACCAGUGUUGUUUUCUCGAAAAUCAAUUGAAAAUGAUGGGAUUUUGUGUUGUAUUGACUUUAUCAGCUUUCUGCACUUUUUUCUUGUCUUUUUUAAUGCACUUUUCGUUUAACAAGUCAACAUCAAUUUCUUUUGUUGUAAAAGAGUCAUUGGAAGGUGGCUUUCACUUUCGGUGAAAGUGUUUAUAGCCUUUGACUUCUGCAAUCGGAGAGAUUGAGGUCUGCAGCGUAGAUCCUUCGGGGUUAGAUACAUUUGUGCUAAGUUAUAGCCUUUCAUAGACAACUUGUUGACUAUGAUCAGUCAUGUAGCUUACUCGCUUAUGUCAUUUUACCUACGCUUAGGAUGUUGAUAUGCAUGACUGAUAU
rnacentral:rRNA from 1 species